GCCGGGCGUGGUGGCUCAUGCCUGUAAUCCCAGCACUUUGGGAGGCCGAGGCGGGCGGCUCACCUGAGGUCAGGAGUUUGAGACCAGCCUGACCAACAUGGAGAAACCCCGUCUCUA
ensembl:misc_RNA Metazoa_SRP Metazoan signal recognition particle RNA